UAGAAAGUAGUGUACUGGAAGCACGGGGGGCUUUGAACUCCCCAGGUUGGGUUCAAGUCCCUCCUUUCUAA
rnacentral:tRNA from 1 species